GGAUGUGAAGGCAGCCCCACUGUGACAUGUCUCAUCCCACUGACUUCCAGGGUUCAUUUGGAUGGACUGGCUGGCUUGGCUGGCUAGGCAGGUAUCUCUUUCCUCCCUUACUGCUCCAUGUGCAUCUCUCUUGAAGUAUGCACUCGGACUAGGAGAAUGGCCUUUCCUCACAGAGGAGAGCCAUUCUUCAAUCAAGAGCAUGUGGAUAUUUGAAGUCCCCUGCUAGAGCCUCCAGACAAGUUCUCAGAAAGGGAAGAAGGGCUGGAGAGGUGUCUUAGUAGUUAAGAACAUUUGUGCAC
rnacentral:snRNA from 1 species